UGGGGUUCUGUGCAUUUGCCCCGCCAUGCAUGGUGGCGGGUCCAAACGGCCUAGUUUUGAAAAUAUUUUCAUAAACGGGAAAAUAUGUUUCUAAAAAUAAAAAAAAUUAUGUGUGGCAGCCAAAUGAGCUACUAGUACUAGUAGGUUUUCUUGUUCUUUUCUUUUUUUGAGAGAGCUUUUUUUUCUUUGACAAAUAAGAGGUACUACUACUACUAGUUGUUGUUGUUAUUGUUGUUGUUGUUGUUAUUGUUGUUGUUGUUGUUGUUAUUGUUGUUGUUGUUGUUAUUGUUGUUGUUGUUGUUGUUAUUAUUAUUAUUGUUGUUGUUAUUAUUAUUAUUAUUAUUAUUAUUAUUAUUAUUAUUUAGCAAAUAUACUAGUAGUAGCUAUACUAGAGGAUCUCGAGGGUUAGAGAUCCAAGAAGCUUGUGCGGAUAAGCGGAUAGAAAGCAGUCCAGUGUUCGAGCGCGGCGCGUGCUGGCGUUGGCAUCCAUCUCCCAAAUGCUUGGCGCUUGCGGUUUGCGGCGUGCGCGACUACUGCUCGUCUUUGCCCUGUCCAUCAUAGACUGGACUAGACACGGUGUGGGUCACGCUUUUUUAAAAAUAAAAGGACAACAAAUUCUUUGUCGCGGAUUUUAUUGAACGAUAUAAAGAAAAACAAAAAACAAAGAAAAAACGACAGUACAACUCACGGCACAGAAAAACAUGGGCAGAAGUGCUAGAAAUCCUAAUCCGAGUGAGUCCUCCAGUCAAUCCGAGUGAGUCCUCUGGGCUUAUGAUGCCAUCGCUAAAUAAUAUUGUGUGAUAUCAUCCUUACAUAAGGAAGACAUUUAUAUUGGUUGUAGACUGUUCUGUUGGAAGAUCAUUCUAUUGCAUCCUUUCCAUAUAUAUUCCACCAGAAACAGAUUAGGAUUCCAUCCACUUUUUUUCUUUGGUUCUUAUCAAAAAUUUAUGCCUGCAUCUCAACCAAAAAGAUAGAACCUCCUUCGCUCACUGUUUCCAGCAUCGGUAGAUUGAACCAAUGCUUAAUAAUGCCCCAAACCUCCUUGAUGAAUGGGCAAUCUUUGCCGAGAUGAGUUGGCGUUUCCAGAUCAUUGUCACAUAGCUUGCAUUUUGUGCCUUCAGUCCACUCUCUUUUGAGAAGAUUGUUCGCAAUUAGGAUUUUCUUAUGCAUCAGAGUCCAAGUAAAAAAACAAUAUUUAUGUUCAGCUUUAGCCCUCCAAAUUGGAAUUAUCUUCAUUCUACUGUAAACUCUCACAUAC
rnacentral:lncRNA from 1 species